rnacentral:rRNA from 1 species
GUUUCCGUAGGUGAACCUGCGGAAGGAUCAUUGCCAAUCCUGAUCGACACACCCGCGAACACGUUAUCAUCACUCGUCGUCGGAUUGCCCGCCCCCGGGUGGGCGUCCCCCGACCGGUCGUUGCGCUCCCCUCCCCUCGCCGCCUUGAUCUAGGACCCUCGGGUCCCGGUCGGGUUACGCGUGGUGGGGAUGUCGUUGCGGCCGUAACAAGCAAAACGGCGCCACAGGCGUCAAGGACAAUACCAACAAAGAGCAUCGGCCCGCACCCAUGGCAAUGGGGGGUGACCUUUGCCUCUAUCUAUCUAAACGACUCUCGGCAACGGAUAUCUUGGCUCCCGCAACGAUGAAGAACGUAGCGAAAUGCGAUACUUGAUGUGAAUUGCAGAAUCCCGUGAAUCAUCGAGUCUUUGAACGCAAGUUGCGCCCGAGACCACCCGGUCGAGGGCACACCUGCCUGGGCGUCACGCUAUGCGUCGCUCUCCUCCCACGCCCUUCCCGAAUUGGGGAAGGGUUGGGAGGCGGGCGGAGGACUGGCCGUCGCUGUCCCCGUCGGCAUCGUCGGCUGAAAUGCUAGGCCCGCGUCUCGUUAAGUUGCGGCAAGCGGUGGAACACCUUUAGCCGUCCAACCAUGCGAUGCCCCGGUGCAAGAGGAACUCUGAGGGGGCAAUGCCUCCAGCCUAGCGACCCCAGGUCAGGUGAGACCACCCGCUGAGUUUAA